CUUGGCAAACGCUGCAACCUUUUUAGUUGUAGAGGAAAGUCCAUGCUCACACGCUCUGCGAUGAGCGUAGUGUUCGCGCCUGAGGAAUAAAUAACUCAGGGUAGCCAGUGCUAACGGCUCUGAAAUACUCUUUUUGAGAGUAGAGUAAGUAUAAAAGUGCCAAAGAGACGAGCCUUUUAGUAAUAAAAGGAGUGGAACGUGGUAAACCCCGCGAGUGAGAAACCCAAAUUUUGGUAGGGGAACUAUCCAAUGGAAAAUGAACCUGCGGAUGGAUACGAGAGUAUAGAUAAAUGUUUGUCACUUAGUUUUAAGUACAGAACAUGGCUUAUAA
rnacentral:RNase_P_RNA from 1 species